rnacentral:tRNA from 1 species
GGGGGCGUGGCGGAACUGGCAGACGCAGCGGACUUAAAAUCCGCCGCCGCAAGGCUUCAGGGUUCGAGUCCCUGCGCCCCUACCA